rnacentral:rRNA from 1 species
UUGAACGCUGGCGGCAUGCCUUACACCUUCCAGUCGCACGGCAGCACGGGAGCAAUCCUGGUGGCGAGUGGCGAACGGGUGAGUAAUACAUCGGAACGUGCCCAAUCGUGGGGGAUAACGCAGCGAAAGCUGUGCUAAUACCGCAUACGAUCUACGGAUGAAAGCAGGGGACCGCAAGGCCUUGCGCGCAUGGAGCGGCCGAUGGCAGAUUAGGUAGUUGGUGGGGUAAAGGCUCACCAAGCCAACGAUCUGUAGCUGGUCUGAGAGGACGACCAGCCACACUGGGACUGAGACACGGCCCAGACUCCUACGGGAGGCAGCAGUGGGGAAUUUUGGACAAUGGGCGCAAGCCUGAUCCAGCCAUGCCGCGUGCAGGAUGAAGGCCUUCGGGUUGUAAACUGCUUUUGUACAGAACGAAACGGCCUUUUCUAAUAAAGAGGGCUAAUGACGGUACCGUAAGAAUAAGCACCGGCUAACUACGUG